GACGAACGCUGGCGGCGUGCUUAACACAUGCAAGUCGAACGAAGUGGCGAACGGGUGAGUAACGCGUAAUCAACCUGCCCUUCAGAGGGGGACAACAGUUGGAAACGACUGCUAAUACCGCAUACUGAAGGAGGGGAUUGCGUCUGAUUAGCUAGUUGGAGGGGUAACGGCCCACCAAGGCGAAGAUCAGUAGGCGGGCUGAGGGGGUGAACGGCCCAAUUGGGAAUGAGACCCGGCCCCGACUCCUACGGGCGGCAGCAGUGGGGAAUCUUCCGCCAUGGACGAAAGUCUGGCGGAGCAACGCCGCGUGAGUGAUGACGGCCUUCGGGUUGUAAAGCUCUGUUAAUCGGGACGCGGUACCGGAAUAGAAAGCCACGGCUAACUACGUGCCAGCCGCCGCGGUAAUUC
rnacentral:rRNA from 1 species